AGCGGCGGACGGGUGAGUAACACGUGGGUAACCUACCUAUAAGACUGGGAUAACUCCGGGAAACCGGGGCUAAUACCGGAUAACACAUGAAACCGCAUGGUUUCAUGAUGAAAGACGGUUUUGCUGUCACUUAUAGAUGGACCCGCGGCGUAUUAGCUAGUUGGUAAGGUAACGGCUUACCAAGGCAACGAUACGUAGCCGACCUGAGAGGGUGAUCGGCCACACUGGAACUGAGACACGGUCCAGACUCCUACGGGAGGCAGCAGUAGGGAAUCUUCCGCAAUGGGCGAAAGCCUGACGGAGCAACGCCGCGUGAGUGAUGAAGGUCUUCGGAUCGUAAAACUCGUUAUUAGGGAAGAACAAGGAUGUAAGUAACUUGCAUCCCUGA
rnacentral:rRNA from 1 species